rnacentral:tRNA from 1 species
AUGUCACUAGUCAUGGUUAGAUUCCAUGUGGGAA